GGGCGGUUAGCUCAGCCGGAAGAGCGCCUCGCUUACACCGAGGAUGGCGGGGGUUCGAAUCCCUCACCGCCCACCA
rnacentral:tRNA from 2 species